GCAGAUGGAGGGAACUCCUGGUCCAGAGAGUUACAGAGGAGGAGGAGAAACCUAGAACCAGAGACCAGGAGGAGGGAGAGUCCACAACCUGGAAGGGUCAGAUAUGACCAAUGGACUACAUAGAUAUUUGUGGACAGGAGAUAAGCCCAGGGCAGAGGGAAAAUAGCUUUUUCUACACCGAAAAGCUUCAUUGCCUUGAUAAGACAAUUGGCAUUCCUGAAGCAAAACAGCAUCCCUGCACCUUUGAAAAUAUUCAGCAGAUGCAAGGCAUCCAGGAUCACCUCAUCAGCCGAGUAUUCAAUCUGCUCUGCAUAAAAUGAAAUGCAGGGAUGAGGUGUCCCUGUUGCCAAGCAGUGGCAGGAGGAGAAAGGAGACAGCAGAGGGCGGGCCGUCAGUGAGAAACACAGCCACCUUAGAACUGGUGCAUUUCUGGGCUGCUCUGAACCAACCUCUCGAUGGUAGCAGGGUGGAUAGUUAACACAGCCCUACGGAAGCGAACAGGAAGGAAGUCAAAGAGAAGGCCUUAUGUAUGCAGAGAUACAGCAAGUGGUCUCUUUUCUUAAGCUACAGAAAUACAGAUCAAAUUUUGGGAGGAUGGCUACAGUACCAAGAUUCUCUACAGACCCUCUAAUGUGCAGAAUGUACCCUUCUGGC